CACAUGCAAGUCGAGCGGUAAGGCCUUUCGGGGUACACGAGCGGCGAACGGGUGAGUAACACGUGGGUGAUCUGCCCUGCACUUCGGGAUAAGCCUGGGAAACUGGGUCUAAUACCGGAUAUGACCUCCUAUCGCAUGGUGGGUGGUGGAAAGAUUUAUCGGUGCAGGAUGGGCCCGCGGCCUAUCAGCUUGUUGGUGGGGUAAUGGCCUACCAAGGCGACGACGGGUAGCCGACCUGAGAGGGUGACCGGCCACACUGGGACUGAGACACGGGCCAGACUCCUACGGGAGGCAGCAGUGGGGAAUAUUGCACAAUGGGCGAAAGCCUGAUGCAGCGACGCCCGCGUGAGGGAUGACGGCCUUCGGGUUGUAAACCUCUUUCAGCAGGGACGAAGCGCAAGUGACGGUAC
rnacentral:rRNA from 1 species